AAGAGCCCGUUGUGAACUUUUGGGUACCCAACCCCUUGCGCGCCUUCCCUAGCUAACAAAAGUAAUAUAAGUCAGAGUAUUAUGUUAUCAGUACAAUCUUUUGCAAUACCUGUUUUAAAAAAAAGAAGUGGCGGGCUGCUUGGAAUACUUCUGCCGCCAUGUACAGUCUAGUGCGCUUAUAGGAGGAACGCAUGUGGCAGUGACGUCACAGACAAGUUCUUUGCCGACAGGCGGGACAGACUCUGAGGAUGUUAAAGUUGUUGCGAAGGCCGGGGAAAACGCAACUCUGCCCUUUGGGUUACCAAAACACCUGCAAGGAACACCUGUUGAAAACCUGGUUGUUAAGUGGAGUAGUCUAAAACAAAUGGCCCUCUGUAGCCAUCAGAAUGGUAGUUUUCUUUGUAAAGAGAAUGUCAGAGGCAGAAUAAAGAUGGUACACUUGGACCUUGUUAUUACAAACGUUUCAAUCCGCGAUCAGGGCAUGUAUUACUACAAAGUACGAGGAGGCAGUACUACACAUCAUGUCAUGCUGGUUGUGGAAAACAGUACAAGCACUCCAACCAGCUUCCCGACUUUAGACAAUCGUACAACCCUUCAACCUGACCAGACAAGCACCGCAGCCACAAACACAACAGACUCAAACUCUACUAAGAACAACAUUCCUUGGUCUGUUGCAGGAUAUAUUACAGGAGCAGUAGCAGGAGCAGUAGCAGUAGCAGUGGUAGUAGUAUGCUACAUGAAGUUCUUUUAUAAAGAAGUUAUUUUAUAAACCAAAAGAAGGUUGUUAAACCUAUGGAAGACAACAGCGACCACCCUGCCAAUGGACAUCAUCUUACUGCGAGGGACGCUCCAUUAGAAGAGAAUCUGCACGCUGAAGAAAUUCCAGUCUAAUAAGAAACUGAUACAAAUCUGAAGAUUUUUCAAAGGGGGUGGGCUUUAUUUAAACAUGCUGGUUUCUUAAGCUGCAUUACACCAGCUCUGUGAACACUUAAGUUAUCAGUGAAAGCUGUGAAAUCUGUCUUGAGCUGACGGGAAAAACUAUUUAAGCUUGCCCAACCCCCAAAAAGCAAGCUGUAUUUGUGUGAGGGGAAAGAAGCACUUUUUAAGGGAGUAGUAAUACUAGCCACUUUAUGAAAAAAUACGAGUUUGUCUCGUUACCUUUUCUCUGUUGUGCAUUUGCAUUAGUGGUCUUUUCUGUUUUUUUAAUUUCGGAGCCUAGACACCAAUGAUGUGAUCUCUGUCAGGGAUGUCUCAUGUCAAUAAGCCAUGGGGGCAAUCAAAUCAGUCUUUCUGAGCAUUGUCAUUGAAUAAGGCUAGCCACUAGCAACACAACAUUUGUAUAACUACAUGCUAACAUUGAUGAUACACUUCAAAACACAGGAAAUGCAUCUAACAGCGUGUAUUCUGAAGUAGAAUAGGACAAGAUUAGAGGAAGAUUAGAUUAGAGGAGUCUUGUACUUGACUGUACAUUGAAUAUGCUUGUCAAACUUGGUUUCUUCUUCCAGUCUUUACCUGUAAAGCUGUACUUUAUUUAUUUUUAAAAUUUAGACAAAAUUAUUAGAUCCUAUAGUUAAAGACCAAGGCUUAAACUGGCAGUUCUCCAGGAACCAAAGGUCUGCCUGUGCCAGUAUAUUUCUACCUUGUAGCUCUGACUGGUCUAUUGGCAUUCCUGAAUUACACUGAUAUAAUUGCCAUUUACUUAUAUGUGUCUUUUGUAAUUGUAUACUUUUUGUGCAAUGUAUAAAUUAAAGGAAUAAAAACCUGAAUGGAAGGAUAUUUAAAAAAAAAUAAAAACAA